AAAGCGUGCGCAGGCGGUAAUGUAAGACAGAUGUGAAAUCCCCGGGCUUAACCUGGGACCUGCAUUUGUGACUGCAUUGCUGGAGUGCGGCAGAGGGGGAUGGAAUUCCGCGUGUAGCAGUGAAAUGCGUAGAUAUGCGGAGGAACACCGAUGGCGAAGGCAAUCCCCUGGGCCUGCACUGACGCUCAUGCACGAAAGCGUGGGGAGCAAACAGGAUUAGAUACCCCGGU
rnacentral:rRNA from 1 species